rnacentral:rRNA from 1 species
UGACUCAGCGAAAUUGUAAUCGCGGUGAAGAUACCGUGUACCCGCAGCUAGACGGAAAGACCCCAUGAACCUUUACUACAACUUGGCAGUGAAGCUCGGAGCAGUCUGCGUAGGAUAGGUGGGAGGCUUUGAAGCGGGGUUUGCGGACCUCGUGGAGCCAACCUUGAAAUACCACCCUGGCUGUUCUGGGCUUCUAACCUAGGUCCGUGAUCCGGAUCGGGGACACUGCCUGGCGGGUAGUUUGACUGGGGCGGUCGCCUCCCAAAAAGUAACGGAGGCGCGCAAUGGUGCCCUCAGGCUGAUUGGAAACCAGCCGUAGAGUGCAAAGGCAUAAGGGCGCUUAACUGCGAGACCGACAGGUCGAGCAGGUGCGAAAGCAGGCCUUAGUGAUCCGGUGGUUCCGUAUGGAAGGGCCAUCGCUCAACGGAUAAAAGGUACUCUGGGGAUAACAGGCUGAUCGCGCCUGAGAGUUCACAUCGGCGGCGCGGUUUGGCACCUCGAUGUCGGCUCAUCGCAUCCUGGGGCUGGAGCAGGUCCCAAGGGUUUGGCUGUUCGCCAAUUAAAGCGGUACGCGAGCUGGGUUUAGAACGUCGUGAGACAGUUCGGUCCCUAUCUGCUGUGGGCGGAGGAUGCUUGAGAGGAGCUAAUCAUAGUACGAGAGGACCUGAUUGGACGCACCUCUGGUGUUCCAGUUGUCGCGCCAGCGGCAUAGCUGGGUAGCUAUGUGCGGAACGGAUAACCGCUGAAAGCAUCUAAGCGGGAAGCCGGCCUCGAGAUAAGGCAUCCCGGGCCGCAAGGCCCCUGAAGGCCCCUCGAAGACCACGAGGAGAUAGGCAGGGUGUGGAAGCGUGGUGACACGUGAAGCUGACCUGUACUAAUCGGCCGUGAGGCUUGACCUA